rnacentral:rRNA from 1 species
UACGUAGGGUCCAAGCGUUAAUCGGAAUUACUGGGCGUAAAGCGCGCGUAGGCGGACCUGCAAGUCGGGGGUGAAAGCCCGAGGCUCAACCUCGGAACUGCCUUCGAUACUGCGGGUCUCGAGUCCGGGAGAGGUGAGUGGAAUUCCUAGUGUAGAGGUGAAAUUCGUAGAUAUUCGCAAGAACACCAGUGGCGAAGGCGGCUCACUGGCCCGGUACUGACGCUGAGGUGCGAAAGCGUGGGGAGCAAACAGG